rnacentral:lncRNA from 1 species
GGGUACUGUAGGUAGGGGUAAGGUAACAACAGGUAGCCUCAAUAUUAACAGAGGGUACUGUAGGUAGGGGUAAGGUAGAGGCAGGUAGUCUCAAUAUUAACAGAAGGUACUGUAGGUAGGGGUAAGGUAACAACAGGUAGUCUCAAUAUUAACAGAGGGUACUGUAGGUAGGGGUAAGGUAACAACAGGUAGUCUCAAUAUUAACAGAGGGUACUGUAGGUAGGGGUAAGGUAGAGGCAGGUAGCCUCAAUAUUAACAGAGGGUCCUGUAGGUAGGGGUAAGGUAGAGGCAGGUAGCCUUGAGGUUACAGUGCUGGGCCAGAAACCGAAAGGUUGCAGGUUUGAGUACCGGAGCGGACAAGGUGAAAAAUAUGUUGUGCCCUUGAACAAGGCACUUCAUCCUAAUUGCUCCAGGGGCGCUGUACG